rnacentral:lncRNA from 1 species
AUUUGACCUACUCUUGGAUGAAACAUAUUGCAUUUUGUUACUUUACUUUCACAACUUUCAUACAAUAUAUUUGACAUGCUACUUUUAUUACAGGUGCACCUAUAGUAGGUAUGCUUUUUGAGAAGAUAGGCACUGAUGCAUAUAUGAUGAGAACCUUGAGGGAUAAGGAGAAGAAAAAGGAAUAGAAUGGUAAAAUUGAUGCAUAGUAUAUGGAGGAUUGUUUAUUGUUUAAUAUAUAUAUAUAUAUAUAUGCUAUCAUACAUUUAACACCACACAUUAAUUUAAUUUGUCGACUCUAUGUUUGAAGAGAUUAUGUAAUGGCUUUAAUUUUGAAUUUGGAGUUAUUAGAC